rfam:Clostridium difficile 630 complete genome
AAUUAAAUGAGGCAAAACUAGGGAAACCUAGUCACGCAAAGCUAUAGGGGCUAAAGUUUAGUAAACCAUGCCAGCCAGUUGCCGAA